UGGGGAAUAUUGCACAAUGGGGGAAACCCUGAUGCAGCGACGCCGCGUGAGUGAAGAAGUAUUUCGGUAUGUAAAGCUCUAUCAGCAGGGAAGAAAGUGACGGUACCUGACUAAGAAGCCCCGGCUAACUACGUGCCAGCAGCCGCGGUAAUACGUAGGGGGCAAGCGUUAUCCGGAUUUACUGGGUGUAAAGGGAGCGUAGACGGAGGAGCAAGUCUGAAGUGAAAGCCCGCGGCUCAACUGCGGGACUGCUUUGGAAACUGUUCAUCUAGAGUGUCGGAGAGGUAAGUGGAAUUCCUAGUG
rnacentral:rRNA from 1 species